rnacentral:rRNA from 1 species
CGGACGGGUGAGUAAUGCUCGGGAAUCUAGCUUAUGGAGGGGGGUAACUACGGGAAACUGUAGCUAAUACCGCGUAAUAUCGAAAGAUUAAAGUGUGGGACCUUCGGGCCACAUGCCAUAGGAUGAGCCCAAGUGGGAUUAGGUAGUUGGUGAGGUAAAGGCUCACCAAGCCGACGAUCUCUAGCUGGUCUGAGAGGAUGACCAGCCACACUGGGACUGAGACACGGCCCAG